rnacentral:rRNA from 1 species
GACGUAGGGCGCGAGCGUUGUCCGGAUUUAUUGGGCGUAAAGAGCGCGCAGGCGGUCGUACAAGUCGCGUGUGAAAGCCCCCGGCUCAACCUUCAGACGUCGACCGAAACCAUCUGGCUAGAGUCCGGGAGAGGAGAGUGGAAUUCCUGGUGUAGCGGUGAAAUGCGCAGAUAUCAGGAAGAACACCAGUGGCGAAGGCGGUCUGCUGGGCCGUUGCUGACGCUGAGGCGCGACAGCGUGGGGAGCAAACAGG